UGGGGAAUCUUGCGCAAUGGGCGAAAGCCUGACGCAGCGACGCUGCGUGAGGGAAGAAGGCUCUCGGGUUGUAAACCUCUUUCAGGAGGGACGAAGCCACUCGGGUUAAUAGCCCAGAGGGUGACGGUACCUCCAGAAGAAGCCCCGGCUAACUACGUGCCAGCAGCCGCGGUAAUACGUAGGGGGCAAGCGUUGUCCGGAUUUAUUGGGCGUAAAGAGCGUGUAGGCGGCCAGACAGGUCCGUUGUGAAAACUGGAGGCUCAACCUCCAGACGUCGAUGGAAACCGUCUGGCUAGAGUCCGGAAGAGGAGAGUGGAAUUCCUGGUGUAGCGGUGAAAUGCGCAGAUAUCAGGAAGAACACCCGUGGCGAAAGCGGCUCUCUGGGACGGUACUGACGCUGAGACGCGAAAGCGUGGGGAGCGAACAGGAUUAGAUACCCUGGUAGUCCACGCCGUAAACGAUGGGCGCUAGGUGUGGGAGGUGUCGACUCCU
rnacentral:rRNA from 1 species